ensembl:lincRNA
CCGGUCUCCCAUGUUUCGUCCAACUCCGUCCACAACUUUUUUGAGGUAUUCUCCUCACAGGUAAACAGACAGACAGGGGUGAAAACAUAUCCUCCUUCCACAUUGGGUGGGGAAGUUAAUAGUAAUUUGUCCUUUUACCCCGACCCACGCAUUUUGUGUUCCUCAGCUCCCAUAAAUAGAGCAGCUCUCAUUGGAGGACUUGUGGGAGGUAUUGGAGGAUUCCUGCUCUUGAUCCUGUUGGCAAUUGCAUUGUUCAUCUGCUACCGUCAUAAAAAGAAAGAGGACAAAUUGAAUAACAAAACAAAGAGCAAAACGGCUACAACAGAAAACACCAAUGCAAGUCCAAUCGAGAAUACAAAAUCGAGCUCUCCAGCAGCUGAAACACAUUCGGAAGGAAAUAUUAAUCCCAGCUUUCACGACUCAUUUGGCGAUCAGAACUCGCGAAACUCAGCAACAUCAACCAUUCCAAGCUAUCCUCCAAGCCUUCUACCACAGAUGCAGUCAAAAUACUUAAACUACCCAAUUGGACAAGAUUACUUGGAUGACAGCAACUGGGUAAGCGUACCAACAUUAAUGUCAUGCAUAUUUGUACCAACUGAUGUAAUACCAUCUCGAAGAAAUUAAAUUUUCAACCUCUCAUUCAUUUCUGCAGAGUGACAGUGAUCAUGAAACAUCCAUGAAUAAUGAUCCAGGAGGAGAUGUUAAAAUCCGGACGAUCACCAUGGUGUGAAGCUGAAUUCGAUUAAGGAAAAAUAAAUAAAGGGAAAAGUGACCAUCUCUCUUCUCCCCAUCCCAACUACACUUUUCUUUUAUACUUCCUUAUCGAAAAUCUGUCUAUCUUUCUCUCAUUAAAAAUGAGUUGUUGUUGAUCAAAAUUUAUUUUCUUUUCUUCGAUGUUAUUCUCUGAUAAUAUAAUUCAUGGAACAAUUCUGAGAUAUAACUUAUGACAGCAAGAGUAUGUAAAAAGAAAUGUUUUCAAACAAACUUUGAUUUUGUAUCAUCAUCGUGUACCUUGGUAUAAUUAUUUAUUGAGGGUGGACAGCAAGAGUAUGUAAAAAGAAAUGUUUUCAAACAAACUUUGAUUUUGUAUCAUCAUCGUGUACCUUGGUAUAAUUAUUUAUUGAAGUUGAAAAAUCAACAACAAAACUACAUUUUGAACAGCAUCACUUUAUUAUGUGUGGGCAUAUGUGUACAUUUUAUGAGGGUAAAAACUACAAUGUUAAAAACCUUCAGGGUCAGAUUAUAAAUAUGUGUUAAAUUUAUAACUUUGAAAGCAAACCGUAUGGAAAAACAGUUCAGGACAGAUCGAGUUAUUCAUUUGAGUUUAGAAUUACUUUUCAUCUCAUGGAUAUUUCACCUGCAUCAUAACUACAAUUUUUUCCCCAUGCAAAUACAUUCAUACUGUUCACAAAGUCUGUAGAAUGAAGAAAAUGUACACUUCACAUUAUAUUUGACAUGUUCAAGAAAAAAAAUCCUUUUUCCCCCCUCAUUGGUUCUUGCUGUCAAAAUGACACUUUUUUUUUUUUGUUAAACAAUUUGCACUUUGUUGAUUAACUCUUAAUCAGUGUACAUAAUGUGUUUUUAAAAAAAAUAUUAUUAUUCGCUUACUUAAAUUGACAUCACUUUCAAAUAAAUGCAACUUUGCCUUCAAAAUAUGUCACAUCUCAGUGAAACACAUUCUCUAUUUCCCACAUCAUUUUAAUGCUCUGACUCGUGUCACCAGUUGUUCUGGACAACAUACAAAUAAAGCCUCACUCUUUGGAAAGAGUGGUGUUUAGGCCUAUCAAUAAUGAAUCCAUCCAUCCAUCCAUCCAUUAACUACAUUGUAUCAUACAGGGUGGACCACAAAAAAAAAAAAAUGGAACCGAUCUUCCCUCCAAUAACUUACUCCCUUCCAAUGAUAUCCUCUUACUUUUUGCAGGUGUGCAAAGUGGAGUUCGUGUAUAGUCAGCAGAUUUGGAUUUAGUCAAGAUAGCCCCAAUUCUUCAACAUGCCAUGAACAACAAAAUAAACUAGCAUCUGUUGAAGACAAAGUCUUCGAUAUCCCCCGCCAUAGUAAAUGAGGACAAGUAGCAAAAGGCACCAGUUCAAUGGGGGGGGGGGGGGGGGGGGGGGGGGGGGGG